rnacentral:rRNA from 1 species
AGCAGCCGCGGUAAUUCCAGCUCCAAUAGCGUAUAUUAAAGUUGCUGCAGUUAAAAAGCUCGUAGUUGAAUUUCGGGACUAAUAUGUCGGUCGUGCCUCGGUACGUACUGGUUUAUUGGUUUCUCCUUUCUGAAGAACCAUGAUGUCAUUUAUUUGGUGUCGUGGGGAAUCAGGACUGUUACUUUGAAAAAAUUAGAGUGUUUAAAGCAGGCUCACGCUUGAAUACAUUAGCAUGGAAUAAUGAAAUAGGACGUUUGAUUCUAUUUUGUUGGUUUCUAGGAUCGACGUAAUGAUUAAUAGGGAUAGUUGGGGGCAUUAGUAUUCAAUUGUCAGAGGUGAAAUUCUUGGAUUUAUUGAAGACUAACUACUGCGAAAGCAUUUGCCAAGGAUGUUUUCAUUAAUCAAGAACGAAAGUUAGGGGAUCGAAGACGAUCAGAUACCGUCGUAGUCUUAACCAUAAACUAUGC